rnacentral:rRNA from 1 species
GUCCACGCCGUAAACGGUGGAUGCUGGAUGUGGGGCCCGUUCCACGGGUUCCGUGUCGGAGCUAACGCGUUAAGCAUCCCGCCUGGGGAGUACGGCCGCAAGGCUAAAACUCAAAGAAAUUGACGGGGGCCCGCACAAGCGGCGGAGCAUGCGGAUUAAUUCGAUGCAACGCGAAGAACCUUACCUGGGCUUGACAUGUUCCCGACAGCCGUAGAGAUGCGGCCUCCCUUCGGGGCGGGUUCACAGGUGGUGCAUGGUCGUCGU